GACAGAGGGUGCAAACGUUGUUCGGAAUUACUGGGCGUAAAGCGCGUGUAGGCUGCUUCGAAAGUCGGAUGUGAAAGCCCUGGGCUCAACCUAGGAAGUGCAUUCGAAACUUCGAAGCUUGAGUUCUGGAGAGGAAGGCGGAAUUCUCGGUGUAGAGGUGAAAUUCGUAGAUAUCUGGAGGAACACCGGUGGCGAAGGCGGCAUCCUGGACCGAUACUGACGCUGAGGAGCGAAAGCCAGGGGAGCAAACGGG
rnacentral:rRNA from 1 species